rnacentral:rRNA from 1 species
UACGGAGGGUGCAAGCGUUAUCCGGAUUCACUGGGUUUAAAGGGCGCGUAGGCGGCCCGCUAAGUCGAACGUGAAAUCCCCGAGCUCAACUCGGGAACUGCGUCCGAUACUGGCGGGCUUGAAUCCGGGAGAGGGAUGCGGAAUUCCAGGUGUAGCGGUGAAAUGCGUAGAUAUCUGGAGGAACACCGGUGGCGAAGGCGGCAUCCUGGACCGGCAUUGACGCUGAGGCGCGAAAGCCAGGGGAGCAAACGGG